AACCCAUGGUGAGGUUACCUUAUCAGUAAGUCCUUAUAUCUCUCCCAUGCAUCGUAAAGUGUAUCUAAAUCUAUCUGCACAAAAGAAGAGAUAUCAUUACACAAUUU
rnacentral:snoRNA from 1 species